rnacentral:rRNA from 1 species
UACGGGGGGAGCAAGCGUUGUUCGGAAUUAUUGGGCGUAAAGGGCGCGUAGGCGGCUUGUUAAGUCGGCUGUGAAAGCCCGGGGCUCAACCCCGGAGGGUCAGCCGAUACUGGCAGGCUAGAGUACGGAAGAGGUAGCUGGAAUUCCCGGUGUAGCGGUGAAAUGCGUAGAUAUCGGGAGGAACAUCGAUGGCGAAGGCAAUCACCUGGGCCUGAACUGACACUGUGACACGAAAGCGUGGGUAGCAAACAGG